rnacentral:lncRNA from 1 species
GAGCCCUCAAGUGCUAAGUAAAACUUAAGCUAAGCUUAACCCCAUAAAGCUUAUAUACAAAGCCACGAGAAAGACAGACUCUUGGAGCUAAAUUUGGAAAUGCUGCAAGACAUUAGUUAAACUGGACCCAUUUGCUGCUGCCUUCAGUGCCCGUAGAGAUGCUUGUAUCCACGGAGCUGAAUUAGGAGGCCAAUAUGAGAGGAAGUCACGUUGCAGUGAGGGGAGGGGAGCGCUAAGGUUCUUGCCUGUGCCAGAGGACCUGGAUUUGCUGCCCACCUCCACCUUCUCACUGGUUGACUCCUGUGAUACAAUAUUCACCAGCAGUGACUGGGACAAGAAGAAAAACAAAGGAACCAAGGAGAAACUACCAAACUGCCAGUCUCGGGUGCAUUUUGGAAACAGCUACACAACCAGAGGAGAAGGAGGAAUGAAAGAGGCAGUAAACUCUCCACAAAGAGCAAUGCAUUCCAUGAAAAGGGCAGUGGAUUUCUGAGUAGGGUCCUGACACAAUCAUCCCUUCUGAUACAGGCCCCAGUGGAUGCCUGUCUGGUUCCCUCUCUAAUAACAGAGAAAGCAGGCUUGUAUGCCGUCAGCCAUAAAUGGACACCUGUUUGUGUCUAGCCACAUUUACCCUGGCUAGUUUGAAAACUGUUGAUCAAUUUCUGCAUGGAAGAGACCUUUUUUUUUUUUGGUCAUAAGACCAUCAUAGCAAAAGAGAUUUGUCAUGAACCGUAUUUAAAAUGGGGAUGCUUCAAUUCCUGCUAAAGCUGUGCAAAUAAAAAGACAGUUUAAGUCA